AUAUGGCCGACGAGGGACAAAGUGCAGUAUCUGUUCUUCUCAGCUUAAUAUCUGAUACGGAUUGUAUUUGUACCUAAGAUAUUAAAAUUAUGUUUGCAAGUUGGCGGAGUGCUUAAAGCCUGCUUCACCUCCGCCAUGAGUCGGCGGAGUUGAAUGACCAUGGCUAUCUUCGGUAUCGGCCCAGGUAGG